rnacentral:rRNA from 1 species
CCUACGGGGGGCAGCAGUGAGGAAUAUUGGUCAAUGGGCGCGAGCCUGAACCAGCCAAGUAGCGUGAAGGAUGACUGCCCUACGGGUUGUAAACUUCUUUUAUCAAGGAAUAAAGUGAGGCACGUGUGCCUUUUUGUAUUUCCUUUAUGAAUAAGGAUCGGCUAACUCCGUGCCAGCAGCCGCGGUAAUACGGAGGAUCCGAGCGUUAUCCGGAUUUAUUGGGUUUAAAGGGAGCGUAGAUGGGUUGUUAAGUCAGUUGUGAAAGUUUGCGGCUCAACCGUAAAAUUGCAAUUGAUACUGGCAGGCUUGAGUACAGUUGAGGUAGGCGGAAUUCGUGGUGUAGCGGUGAAAUGCUUAGAUAUCACGAAGAACUCCGAUUGCGAAGGCAGCUUACUAAACGGCCACUGACAUUGAUGCUCGAAAGUGUGGGUAUCAAACAGGAUUAGAUACCCUGGUAGUC